rnacentral:rRNA from 1 species
UACGUAGGGUGCAAGCGUUAAUCGGAAUUACUGGGCGUAAAGCGUGCGCAGGCGGUCAUGCAAGACAGAUGUGAAAUCCCCGGGCUCAACCUGGGAACUGCAUUUGUGACUGCAUGGCUGGAGUGCGGCAGAGGGGGAUGGAAUUCCGCGUGUAGCAGUGAAAUGCGUAGAUAUGCGGAGGAACACCGAUGGCGAAGGCAAUCCCCUGGGCCUGCACUGACGCUCAUGCACGAAAGCGUGGGGAGCAAACGGG